UCCAGACUCCUACGGGAGGCAGCAGUGGGGGAUAUUGCACAAUGGGGGGAACCCUGAUGCAGCGACGCCGCGUGGGUGAAGGAGCGUUUCGGCGCGUAAAGCCCUAUCGGCAGGGAAGAAGGAGGACGGUACCUGACUAAGAAGCCCCGGCUAACUACGUGCCAGCAGCCGCGGUAAUACGUAGGGGGCAAGUGUUAUCCGGAUUUACUGGGUGUAAAGGGGGCGCAGACGGCAGCGCAAGCCAGGAGUGAAAGCCCGGGGCCCAACCCCGGGACUGCUCUUGGAACUGCGCGGCUGGAGUGCAGGAGGGGCAGGCGGAAUUCCUGGUGUAGCGGUGAAAUGCGUAGAUAUCAGGAGGAACACCGGUGGCGAAGGCGGCCUGCUGGACUGCGACUGACGUUGAGGCCCGAAAGCGUGGGGAGCAAACAGGAUUAGAUACCCGCGUA
rnacentral:rRNA from 1 species